rnacentral:rRNA from 1 species
AACGAACGCUGGCGGCAGGCUUAACACAUGCAAGUCGAGCGCCCCGCAAGGGGAGCGGCAGACGGGUGAGUAACACGUGGGAACAUACCCAUCUCUGCGGAACAACUACGGGAAACUGGAGCUAAUACCGCAUACGCCCUUAGGGGGAAAGAUUUAUCGGAGAUGGAUUGGCCCGCGUUGGAUUAGCUAGUUGGUGGGGUAAAGGCCUACCAAGGCGACGAUCCAUAGCUGGUCUGAGAGGAUGAUCAGCCACAUUGGGACUGAGACACGGCCCAAACUCCUACAGGAGGCAGCAGUGGGGAAUAUUGGACAAUGGGCGCAAGCCUGAUCCAGCCAUGCCGCGUGAGUGAUGAAGGCCUUAGGGUUGUAAAGCUCUUUCACCGACGAAGAUAAUGACGGUAGUCGGAGAAGAAGCCCCGGCUAAACUCGUGCCAGCAGCCGCUGUAA